rnacentral:lncRNA from 1 species
AUUUAGGAUUUGAUUUAGGGUCUGAUUUAGGAUUAGGAUUUGGUUUAGGAUUUAGGAUUUGGUUAAGAUUUGAUUUAAGAUUUAAGAUUUGAUUAGGGUUUGAUUUAGGGUUAGGAUUUGUUUAGGAUUUGGUUUAGGAUUUAAAGUUUGGUUUAGGGUUGGAUAGGAUUUGAUUUAGGGUUUAGAGUUUGGUUAGGAUUUGAUUUAGGAUUUGUUUAGGAUUUGGUUUAGGAUUUAAGAUUUGAUUAGGAUUUGGUCAGGAUUUGAUUUAGGGUUUAGGAUUUUAUUUGAGUUUAUUAAGGAUUUAAGAUUUAAUUAGGUUUUGGCCUAAAGUUUAAAUGAAGUCCAAUAGGAUUUCAACUAGGAUUAAAUUAAGAUUGAAUUGAGAUGUAUUUGAGAUAUAUUUUUAAUCAUUCUAAUAUUUUUUUAAGAUUUCUUAUUAUUUCUUUGUAAUUCUUUUGAGUUUUCUUUGAAUUUGAUUAAAGCUUGCUUAACAUUGUUAUGGUCUAAUUGGAGUUUAAUUAGUAUU